CGCUGCGAGUUCGUCAUCGUCAAGAGAAUUAGCUGGCGGACAUGCGUGCUCUGGGACGUUAGCUCCGGGCGUCCGCGGUGCAGAGGCAGGUUUAUUUUUCACCUCAACUGGACCUGUCCUGCUGCUGAUGCCUAGACGGCGCUGCUCAGGCGGUUCUGGUUGGAGAGGCGCAGAAUGAGGAGCCUGGAGUGUAUCUGGAACCUCCCAAGUCAGACCUGCGGCCGAGGCUCGUCAGGAGCCCUCUGAUCCCUGGGGGAAGCCGCGGAGGCAGGCGGCAGCCCACCUGGCGCGCU